UAUAUCUCGUGCGACACACUUCCAGACGGAUCAGGUGAGCGGACCUGCGCACAUUCGAAUAGUUUCACAGAUACCAGCUUAACGGUUUUAAAAGGAUUUAAGUCUACGUUGAAAGAUAAUUUUUUUUAUUCUGCUCAAGAAACAUUAAAGGUUCAUCAUCAUCAUGCAAGUUCGUAUCAACAGCGCUGAUGUGAAAUACACGGAGAAACACAUCGAGUCUCGUUACUGUUACAAUACUGCGUCUGUGUGUAGAGAUGGAGACACGUUCACUGUGAGUGUUUGAACACUUUUAAACUGAUGGAUUCUGAGUGUUUUAUUAGGAAAGUCUGUCUGAAUAAUAAAGUUGCAUUGCAUUUUGUUCUUUAUUUGAAUCGCUGACAUGCCACUUCUGUUAAACAACAUUUUGAAUCAUUCCAGCUAACAGGGAACCUUUUUAGAAGUUUGGCGUUCUCUUAAAGGCACAGCUCGCUCAAAAAAAUCUGUCAUCAUUUACUCGCCCUUAAGUUGUUACAAACCUGUAGGACUUUUUUUUCUUCUGUUGAGCACAAAAGAAGAUAUUUUUGAAGAAUGUGGGCAACCAAACAGUUGUUAGUCCCCAUUGACUUCCAUAGUAUUUUUUCUCCCAUAUAAUGGAAGUCAAUGGGGACCAGCAACUGUUUGAUUACCCACAUUCUUGAAAAUAUUGUUUUUUAUAUUUAACAGAAGAAAGUUAGUAAAAAAAGGGAACAAAUUAUAUCGUGCGCACAAUUUAGUGAAACGAGGGAACAAAUUUUUAUAUUGUGCGCACGAUUUAGUAAAACGAUGGAAUGAAUUAUUAUAUUAUGCGCACAAAUUAGUAAAAAGAGGGAACAAAUUAUAUUGUGCGCAGAAUUUAGUGAAACGCGGGAACAAAUUAUUAUAUUGUGUGCACAAUUUAGUGAAACGUGGGAACGAAUUAUAUUGUGCACACGAUUUAGUAAAAGGAGGGAACAAAUUAUAUUGUGCGCACAAUUUAGUAAAACGAUGGAACAAAUUAUUAUAUUGUGUGCACAAUUUAGUAAAAUGAGGGAACUAAUUAUAUUGUGCGUGUGAUUUAUUAAAAUGAGGGAAUUAAUUCUAUCGUGAGCACAGUUUAGUAAAAGGAGGGAAUUAAUUCUAUCGUGCGCACAGUUUAGUAAAACCAGGUAACGAAUUAUAUUGUGCGCACAAUUUAGUAAAACGAGGGAACAAAUUAUAUUGUGCGCACAAUUUAGUGAAACAAUGGAACUAAUUAUAUUGUGCGUGUGAUUUAUUAAAAUGAGGGAAUUAAUUCUAUCGUGCGCACAGUUUAGUAAAAGGAGGGAAUUAAUUCUAUCGUGCGCACAGUUUAGUAAAACCAGGGAAUUAAUUCUAUCGUGCGCACAGUUUAGUAAAACCAGGUAACGAAUUAUAUUGUGCGCACAAUUUAGUAAAACGAGGGAACGAAUUAUAUUGUACGCACAAUUUAGUAAAAUGAGGGAACGAAUUAUAUUGUGCGCACAAUUUAGUGAAACGCGGUAAAGAAUUAUAUUGUGCGCGCAAUUUAGUGAAACGCGGUAACUAAUUAUAUUGUGCACACGAUUUAGUAAAACAAUAGAACAAAUUAUUAUAUUGUGUGCACAAAUUAGUAAAAGGAGGGAACAAAUAUUGUGCGCACAACUUAGUGAAACAUGGGAACGAAUUAUAUUGUGCGCGCAAUUUAGUAAAACGAGGGAACGAAUUAUAUUGUCCACAUGGUUUAGUAAUUAAUUAUUAUAUUGUGCGCAGUUUAGUAAAACCAGGUAACGAAUUAUAUUGUGCGCACAAUUUAGUAAAACGAGGGAACGAAUUAUAUUGUGCGCACAAUUUAGUAAAACAAUAGAACGAAUUAUUAUAUUGUGUGCACAAAUUAGUAAAAGGAGGGAACAAAUAUUGUGCGCACAACUUAGUGAAACAUGGGAACGAAUUAUAUUGUGCGCGCAAUUUAGUAAAACGAGGGAACGAAUUAUAUUGUCCACAUGGUUUAGUAAUUAAUUAUUAUAUUGUGCGCAGUUUAGUAAAACCAGGUAACGAAUUAUAUUGUGCGCACAAUUUAGUAAAACGAGGGAACGAAUUAUAUUGUGCGCACAAUUUAGUAAAAACGAGGGAACGAAUUAUAUUGUGCGCACAAUUUAGUAAAAUGAGGGAACAAAUUAUAUUGUGCGCACGAUUUACUAAAACAAUGGAACAAAUUAUUAUAUCGUGCGCACAAUUUAGUAAAACGAGGGAACGAAUUAUAUUGUGCACACAAUUUAGUAAAAACGAGGGAACUAAUUAUAUUGUGCGCACAAUUUAGUAAAAACGAGGGAACUAAUUAUAUUGUGCGCACGAUUUACUAAAAUGGAACAAAUUAUUAUAUUGUGCGCACAAUUUAGUAAAACGAGGGAACGAAUUAUAUUGUGCACACAAUUUAGUGAAACAAUGGAACUAAUUAUACUGUGCGUGUGAUUUAUUAAAAUGAGGGAAUUAAUACUAUCGUGCGCACAGUUUAGUAAAAGGAUGGAACAAAUUAUAUUGUGCGCACAAUUCAGUAAAACGAGGGAACUAAUUAUAUUGUGCGCACAAUUCAGUAAAACAAGGGAACUAAUUAUAUAGUGUGUGCAAUUUAGUAAAACACGGGAACUAAUUAUAUCGUGUGUGCAAUUUAGUGAAACGCGGUAACUAAUUAUAUUGUGCACACGAUUUAGUAAAACAAUAGAACGAAUUAUUAUAUUGUGUGCACAAAUUAGUAAAAGGAGGGAACAAAUAUUGUGCGCACAACUUAGUGAAACAUGGGAACGAAUUAUAUUGUGCGCGCAAUUUAGUAAAACGAGGGAACGAAUUAUAUUGUCCACAUGGUUUAGUAAUUAAUUAUUAUAUUGUGCGCACAAUUUAGUAAAAUGAGGGAACGAAUUAUAUUGUGCGCACAAUUUAGUAAAACAAUAGAACGAAUUAUUAUAUUGUGUGCACAAAUUAGUAAAAGGAGGGAACAAAUAUUGUGCGCACAACUUAGUGAAACAUGGGAACGAAUUAUAUUGUGCGCGCAAUUUAGUAAAACGAGGGAACGAAUUAUAUUGUCCACAUGGUUUAGUAAUUAAUUAUUAUAUUGUGCGCAGUUGAGUAA